AAGUCGUAACAAGGUAACCGUAGGUGAACCUGCGGUUGGAUCAUUAAAUUGAAAAAGAGAGAGAAGAAAUUCUCUUGAUUUUAAACAUUUAGAGAUAAUUGAAUGUUUUUUUGUGGAGAGAAGAAGAGAUUCUUUUUUUCCACAAAUUUAAAUAAACCAUUUUUAUUAUUAUUAUUAUUAUAAAAUAAAAAAAAACAACUUUUGACAACGGAUCUCUUGGCUCUCGUAA
rnacentral:misc_RNA from 1 species